AUCAGUACCUGUUGGAGCAGAAAGUGACGGUGCAGUCAGGUGACUGGGCAGAGGUGGAGAGUACCUGAGAAGAAGCAAACGAGAGACAGAGCCAGAACCAGUGCAGCAACAAUGAGAAGUUGAAGCAAUGUGCAUGGAACUUGCUUUCUAUGGCUUCCUUCUUUGUUUGCUUCUUCCUACCAUUUCUUCGUCAAUUCUCCAAUCAGUAAGCCUGGCUCUCCUUCCUUGUCCUCUGUUCCAAGAUUUGCAAGCAUGGCACUUGUAAUGCUAUGUUGCCGCUCUUCCAUAAAAACCACCAUGACAACAAGUCCAUUCCUGGGAUCACAAGACUUGCUCCUGCUUGAAUCGACUACACAUCUUCAGGACCAACAAAUAUCUCAAGCUACACCAUGGCACCAACGCCCCUGAUAUGCCCAACGCCAAGGAAUAGCAUCUUUGAGGGACAUGGAGUUUGUACAGUCGAGCUCAAAUGCACCCUCAUGAAUAGUAAAAAUCGAAAAACUAGUAAAAAAGAUCAAAAAAACUGUUUUUUCUUUUUGGUAACAAACAUUAUUGAAUUUUCUACAUACGUGCAAAUUUUUGUGAAGAAAAAAUAUUCAAAAUGCUCUGGACGAGGAACAUCAAAUUUGAUGCUCCAAAAAGACUAUUUUUGAGUGCUGAUUUUGUUAUUUCUUCUUUCAGACUUCCGCAAAUGUGAUUUCAUUAGGAAAAUUUGAACGCAUGAAGAAAACUAAGGAAUGUUUUUUGUCAAAAAAAUUCAAAAGUAUUAUCUAUUUUUUGGAUUUUACUGUUCAUAGACGGAACAUUUGAGCUGGGGAUUAGAAGAACACUUUCGAUCUUUGGGUGUCUAGUUUAAUGAGGUGUUUUUUUCUAUUGGUGUUCUGGAGCUCAUGCUACAAUCUAUCAUCUUCUCUGUAAAGCUCAAUAUGUUGUCCGUUUUAGGAGAUCUUUUGGGAGUCUGCAAUUGCAGUUGGUGAGCGGACCAUAAGUAAGACUCAUUGUGAGGAGGCCGACACUCUUUAUACAUUAAUUUUUUUUGCUUGUUUUCUGUCCUUCCUGAAUCAUGACAUUUCCAGCAACUCUGAUCAAUGCGCAACAAUGCACCACCUACUCUAGUCGAUGACCUACCUCCCCCCCUCUCUGAUCCCCAUUAUAUAAACUUGAAAGCGUGAAAGAAAGAGGCAAGGGUAAGUGAAAGAGACUAGUAGAACCGGAGUGUCCAUUGUUUCUUUGCAUUUUCCCUUUCCCGGUUUCUAUGUCCAUGAGCAUGGGAGGCAUAAGGAUAAAGGAAUGCAAGACAACCUCUAGAAAACGGAUGUUAGACAGUCAAUCACCCAUAUGAGAAACAACCGAACCAAACCUGCCCAACACAAACUUAACAUCCGGUACAAUUCCUCUUGAUAUGAGGCCAUCCCUCCUUUGUGAGAAGCUAUGGGUCUGUAGCUGCUCAAGCCACUCCUGUUGUGCUCUAAAUUUGAUAUAGAUCCUCGCAGUUACCAGGUGGCACAGGUUUUGCUUAGGCUGAUGCAGCAAACUACACAGAGUUACAAAGUAGUAGGACAGCGGUACAAAGAUAGCCUAUGGACUUCCUACUGUUAGACUCUUGUACUGGUCAAGUUGUUGAGUUCUUCAGGCGUUCAUUUCCUUUGGGAUCUCCCACUGACUUCAUCAAAAAAAUUGCUGACCCUCUCACAAAUCUAGCAGUCGGUCAUCACUCAUCAUCGUUCUAGCUUCUCAGCUCCGCACUAUUUUUAUUUAAUUUCCUCCUUAAUAUCAAAGCUUCGUGUUUCAAUGAUGUACCCACUAUCUAGUUAUCUACACUACCUAAAACACCCAUACAAUAAUAGUUCAAUUGGUGUCAAUCUCAAGGAUAAAUUAUGAAGGUGUGCUUCAUCUUUGAAUAUUGGGAACUAAUGUGCUACAAAUUAGUCGAAGAAAUUUCUGUCCUUACAAA